UACGUAGGUGGCAAGCGUUUAUCCGGAAUUAUUUGGGCGUAAAGCGCUCGCAGGCGGUUUUUCUUUAAGUCUGAUGUGAAAGCCCACGGCUCAACCGUGGAGGGUCAUUGGAAACUGGGAGACUUGAGUGCAGAAGAGGAGAGUGGAAUUUCCACGUGUAGCGGUGAAAUGCGUAGAGAUGUGGAGGAACACCAGUGGCGAAGGCGACUCUCUGGUCUGUAACUGACGCUGAGGAGGCGAAAACGUGGGGACAACAGGG
rnacentral:rRNA from 1 species